rnacentral:rRNA from 1 species
AGGACGAACGCUGGCGGCGUGCUUAACACAUGCAAGUCGAGCGGUAAGGCCUUUCGGGGUACACGAGCGGCGAACGGGUGAGUAACACGUGGGUGAUCUGCCCUGCACUCUGGGAUAAGCCUGGGAAACUGGGUCUAAUACCGGAUAUGACCUGCUCUCGCAUGGGGGUGGUGGAAAGAUUUAUCGGUGCAGGAUGGGCCCGCGGCCUAUCAGCUUGUUGGUGGGGUAAUGGCCUACCAAGGCGACGACGGGUAGCCGACCUGAGAGGGUGACCGGCCACACUGGGACUGAGACACGGCCCAGACUCCUAUGGGAGGCAGCAGUGGGAAUAUGCACAAUGGGCGAAAGCCUGAUGCAGCGACGCCGCGUGAGGAUGAAGGCCUUCGGGUUGUAAACCGUCUUUCAGCAGGACGAAGCGCAAGUGACGGUACCUGCAGAAGAAGCACCGGCUAACUACGUGCCAAGCAGCCGC